UACGUAGGGGGCAAGCGUUGUCCGGAUUUAUUGGGCGUAAAGAGCGUGUAGGCGGCCAUACAGGUCCGUUGUGAAAACUGGAGGCUUAACCUCCAGACGUCGAUGGAAACCGUAUGGCUAGAGUCCGGAAGAGGAGAGUGGAAUUCCUGGUGUAGCGGUGAAAUGCGCAGAUAUCAGGAAGAACACCCGUGGCGAAGGCGGCUCUCUGGGACGGUACUGACGCUGAGACGCGAAAGCGUGGGAAGCGAACAGG
rnacentral:rRNA from 1 species